GGAGUUAGCCGGUGCUUCUUCUGUGAGUGAUGUCCUUCCUGCCGGCUAUUAACCCGCAGGCCUUCUUCCUCACUGAAAGUGCUUUACAACCCGAAGGCCUUCUUCACACACGCGGCAUGGCUGGAUCAGGGUUGCCCCCAUUGUCCAAUAUUCCCCACUGCUGCCUCCCGUAGGAGUCUGGGCCGUGUCUCAGUCCCAGUGUGGCUGAUCAUCCUCUCAGACCAGCUACGGAUCGUCGCCUUGGUGAGCCGUUACCUCACCAACCAGCUAAUCCGACAUAGGCUCAUCCGAUAGCGCGAGGCCCGAAGGUCCCCCGCUUUCCCCCGUAGGGCGUAUGCGGUAUUAGCCUGGGUUUCCCCAGGUUAUCCCCCACUACCGGGCAGAUUCCUAUGCAUUACUCACCCGUCCGCCGCUCGCCACCAGGGAGCAAGCUCCCCGUGCUGCCGCUCGACUUGCAUGUGUUAGGCCUGCCGCCAGCGUUCAAUCUGAGCCAGAAUCAAACUCUGA
rnacentral:rRNA from 1 species